rnacentral:rRNA from 1 species
AGGGAAUCUUCCGCAAUGGGCGAAAGCCUGACGGAGCAACGCCGCGUGAGUGAAGAAGGUCUUCGGAUCGUAAAACUCUGUUAUUAGGGAAGAACAAAUGUGUAAGUAACUAUGCACGUCUUGACGGUACCUAAUCAGAAAGCCACGGCUAACUACGUGCCAGCAGCCGCGGUAAUACGUAGGUGGCAAGCGUUAUCCGGAAUUAUUGGGCGUAAAGCGCGCGUAGGCGGUUUUUUAAGUCUGAUGUGAAAGCCCACGGCUCAACCGUGGAGGGUCAUUGGAAACUGGAAAACUUGAGUGCAGAAGAGGGAAGUGGAAUUCCAUGUGUAGCGGUGAAAUGCGCAGAGAUAUGGAGGAACACCAGUGGCGAAGGCGACUUUCUGGUCUGUAACUGACGCUGAUGUGCGAAAGCGUGGGGAUCAAACAGGAUUAGAUACCCUGGUAGUCCACGCCGUAAACGAUGAGUGCUAAGUGUUAGGGGGUUUCCGCCCCUUAGUGCUGCAGCUAACGCAUUAAGCACUCCGCCUGGGGAGUACGACCGCAAGGUUG